GGAUGUGAGGGCGAUCUGGCUGCGACAUCUGUCACCCCAUUGAUCGCCAGGGUUGAUUCGGCUGAUCUGGCUGGCUAGGCGGGUGUCCCCUUCCUCCCUCACCGCUCCAUGUGCGUCCCUCCCGAAGCUGCGCGCUCGGUGGAAGAGGACGACCAUCCCAGAUAGAAGGAGUGUACCGUUCUUCGGUCAAGGGUAUAAUGAAUGAAUGAAUGAAUGAAUGAAUGAAUGAAUGAAUGAAUGAAUGAAUGAAUGAAUGAAUAUUUAGAAAGUAUGAAGGAUACUCAUGAGUAGAGGGAAGUGCUCUAGCUCUGUCA
rnacentral:sRNA from 1 species